rnacentral:lncRNA from 1 species
UAUAACAUUUACUAGAAUAAAAACCCAAAUUUAGUUCAAUUUAUUUAUUUUUUAGCCAUUUUGUAUCAACAUUACUGGCGAUUUUAGCCAAAUUUUAACCUCAAAUAAGAAUUCUAACUCAAUUUUAGAUCCUUUUGAUCUGAGCCGUUGAUCGAAAAUGAUCCAACGAUUGAGAUCCAAUCCUUCCUCUCUUUCCUUUUAAAAUACCAAAACACUCAAACCCUACCCAUUCUCACCAAAACAGCCGCCUCCCCUCCGACUUUCUCUCUCUACCUCUCUUCUCUCCCUUCUCUCUAAGGCAAAAGAGAAGCCGCCGGCCAACCACCAGUAACCUCGCCGGCUUUCCCCUCUCUUGACAUCGCAGGCGAAAUCCCGUCGGUUUCCCCGAUCGUCCUCUCCGUCGACCAACAGCAACAACCGUCAAACCACCCACGCCUCCAAGCCGUCGCCCAUCUCCAUCACCCAGAUCCAGCCGCGGUCACUCUGCCACCAUCAUGCCGCCUCCGUUAUCCCUCCCUCUCUGGUGAACUCAACGCGACAACAAACAGCAACUCCCGACGCCGCCUCCGUCUUCCCUCACCUCUAAUUCAUCACAUCCUCGCCGGAGUUGAUGACCGGAGAGGUUUUCAACGAACAUUCCUUCGAUUGAUGUUUCAGUUUGAUCUUUUUACCUUAAAUUUCAUGGUUUUUAUUUGCUUUGCUUACAAAUCAGGUUCUUAGUUUCAUAUUGUUGGACCCUGAAUUUUUAAUUCAACUUCUUUAAUUGCGUUUUGUUUACAUCGUUAGGUAGAUAUAGUGAAAAUUUUAAUUUUGUGACACUUAAUUUUAACCUAAAUCUUCAUUUUGAUUACUGAUUUCUACUUAAUUUUUGAUGUUAUUGUAUGUGGAUUGUGUUUUGCUUUGGUUGAUAUCUACAAAAUUCUGAUUCAGUGUUUAUGCUAAAUAUUUGAUUAUUUUACCAUUAAAGGAUGUUAUGGGACUGAUUUAGUGUAACUUUGAUGAGUGAAUUACUGUGAGAAGAUUCUCUUGUGAUUUCUCAAUCAAUUUUGAUAUAUAUGAUAAAUAUUAAGGUUGAUACAUGUUGUUUUAUUAUUUAUUUAUUUUAAAAAUAUCUUUUUUCUUAUCUAUUUAUGGUAAAUUGAUUCCGGAUUGAUUCAGUUUAGGUGAUUAAGGAUAUUAAUAAUAUUGUGAUUGAUUGUUAAAAUAUUCUUCUUCCUUUUACGUGCCUUGUGAUUUCUCAAUCAAAUUUUUGACAUAUAUGGUAAAAUUAAGGUUGGUACAUGUUGUUUUAUUAUUUAUUUAUUUAUUUUUAAAAAAUGUCUUUUUACUUAUCUAUUUAUGGUAAAUUGAUUUUGGAUUGAUUCAAUUUAGGUGAUUAAGGAUAUUAAUAAUAUUGUGAUUGAUUGUUAAAAUAUUCUUAUUGUUAAAAUAUUCUUCUUCCUUUUACGUGAUAACUCCUCCACUAUAAAAAGGAACUCCUCUUAACUUAGGGGGACAUCUCUUAUCAUCCUCUCCUACCCCUAUACGAAAACUCAGCGACUUCUAUAUUCUAUCACACUACAUCUGGAGUAAAUUCCUAGAUACUCACCAUGUUAGCGAAAUUAUCUACAAAUAUCAUUUUUGUUUCAUUUAGGAUAAAAAUAUCACUCAAUCUUUCUAUUUUUCUUAAAAUAUACUUAACAUUUCAAAACUCUUCUCUCCUACUUAGAAUUUAAUGUCAUUUAAAUUUCUUUCUUUUUUUGAUAAAUAGAUCUAUUUAAGUUAUCAAACUUAUUUAACUAAAAUUUUAUUCUAAUUCUUAUUUUUAAAAAUAAUACACAUGAUAUACUAAUCAUUGAAGAUUAAUUUAAUCACAUCAAAAGUUUGAAUUAUUUUAUUUGAUAUGUAUUUUUUAAAGUUUCUUUUAUUUACUUAUUUAUUUCACCACUUAAUAAUAUUUAAAACUCAAUUACUUAUAAAAAUUGGUACUCAUUUAAUUUUUUUAUUAUUUAUUUUAUAUAUUAAAAUUUUUUUAAAAUGUAAAAGAAAUAAAAUGAUGGAUUUUAUAUUUAGACAUUAAAUUUGUUAUUUAUAUGAGAAUAAAAGAAUAAAAUCUAUUUUUUGGGAUUAUACAAAAGAAUUUUUGGAUUAAUAUAAUCCAAAGAUAUUAUAUUUCCUUCAAAUGUAGAGUAAUAGAGAAUAAAAGAAUAUAAUUUGUUAUUUAAAAGUAUUGAUGAUAAACCUACGAUUUUUUUGUUGCCAAACAAAAUUCAAUAAUUUUUUUUUAUUAUGUAUUAUUACCUAGAAAAUUUAAUUUGGACAUAGAUUACUUGCAAUUUUUUAUGCAAGAUAAUUUUUGAUAAAUUUAUAGUAAAAAAAUAAUUUUUUUUGCAGAUUUUUUACAAGUAAUUUUCUAUAAAUAAAUCAUUAAAUCAGUAAGAUAAGACAUAAAUUUAGAAAACAAAUUAUUUUUAAUUUAAUUUCUUCACUUUUUCCCGUAAUCAUUAUAUUUAGAUUUUAUUUUAUUAUACAAUUAAACACUAAUUUAUAUCUGUACUUCAUUCUAAAUUCAUCAAAAGCAAAGAACAAUUGAUAGAGUAAUAUUUUAAAAAUUCAUUUGUAAUAUUACUGAAGAAGGUAUCAUUUUGUUAAUAUUUCUUAAAAAAUUUAAUUUGUUUCAAGACUACAUAAUUUUUUUUUCCUUCAAAAAAGGUGAUUUAUUUUUUUAUUAUCAUAUAAAUAACAAAUUUAAUGUCUAAAAUAUGAAAUUCAUCGUUUUAUUUUUUUUACAUUUUAAAAAUUUUUAAUAUACAAAAUAAACAACAAAAAAAUUAUUGUACCAAUUCGUAUAAGUACUUGUAUUUUAAAAUUAUUAUUAAGUGAUGAAAUAAAUAAGUAAAUAAAAGAAACUUUGAAGAUUACAUAUCAAAUAAAAUAACCUAAGAUUUUGGUGUAAUUAGAUUAAUUUUCAAUUAUCAAUAUAUCAUAUGUAAUUUUUUUAUAAAAAAGAAUUAGGAUAAAACUUUAAUCAAAUAAGUUUGAUAAGUUAUACAUUUAUAAAAAAAAAAGAAAUUUUAAUGACAUGGCAUUUCAAGUAGGAGAGAAAAAAAUUUUGAGAUGAUAAGUAUAUUUUAAGGGAAAAAAAGAAAAGUUGGAUGAUAUUCUUAUCCUAAAUAAAACAAAAGUUAUAUUUGUAGGCAAUUACCCAAACAUGGGUGACCAUUUUGGGAAUUUACUCCUACAUCUGAGUAUUCAAUUUUUAGUUGUUGCUAUUUUGAAAGAUGGCUGGUUCUUGCUUGUUGUUACAAUUAUUCGUCUACUUUGAAAAGUUCAAUUUCUUGUGUUAUUAUGCUGUUGACUAGUUAGUUUUCUCUAAUCGUGCAUUGGCUUCUUUUAUAUUAUUUUAUAUAAGUAUGUUCUUUUUGAUUACUUAAAAUGCUCGACAUUAUAAGCUUUUUAUUUAUUUCGUGCAUCUUUAUGACUUGUUGCGUUCAAGUAUUUGCUUUUGUUGACGUGAUAUGUUUUCUUCCUCAUUUGUAAGUGAGUGUUGUUCCAUUGUUGUAGUGUGGUUAUAUGUGAUGUGAAUACGAAAUAAUCUUUGUUCAUCUCAUAACUCCAUUGGCAUGAACUUGUUUGGGAUCCUUGAGAUCCUUAGGAUCUCGACAGUGCCAAUGAUUGAUUACGGGCUAUCAAAGUUACGUUUGUAUUUUUUGGGUUGAUUUUGUUUAUUGUCUUAUGUUUAGCAAGUUGGAUGAGAAAGAAAAUAAUUUCGAAAACCUGAAGAGUUGCCAAGGAAUUGGUUUAAGGACUAUCUCACUUGGCCCAUCUUUUAAAUUCAUUUAUUUUUUUUAGUUUACAAUAAUUAUUGUAUAAACUCUAUGACACUAGUGAAUUGAGGGACUGCCGGGGAUGGGAUUUUUAUGUGUUUUAUGUGUUACAUAAAUUACCUAGACAAACAAACUUAGGAUUUGUUAAUUAAUUGGUUGUUUAGGCAAAUCUAAUUUAGGACUUAAUUCAAUCACCUAGAAAUCAUGCUUGUAGGAGUCAAUUAACUUUUGUCUCCUCAAAUUACAUUUGAAUAUGUCAACUUAGCUUGCGACAUAUUUAAAUUAACUUUUGCCUCCUCAAAUUACAUUUGAAUAUGUCAACUUAGCUUGCGACAUAUUUAUUUACUUUGGCAUGUUUACAAAAUUUUGACACAUUACACUGUAGCAUUUUUAAUCACAUUUUCAACAAUUAUUUGUUAAUUUUUAGCAUUCAAAUAACAUCUUUUUUUUAGCACAUUAACUAAUUUUCUUACUUUGUUUAUGCAAAUAUUUUUAAAACACAACAUUAAUUGUUAAUAUUUUAUAAAAAAUGAUGCUUAAUUCUCUUUUUGCUAUUUGAAUUGGACUAUAUCUUUCUUAAAUUAUUACUUACAUGAAUACUAUCUCCUAACCUAUAGUUAGUGGGAAAGUAAAAAGAAAUUAAGAGGUCUAAUUCUUAUGUUUUAAAUUAAGCCGUUGCGUUUCCGAAAGUAUCACUCAUCAACAUUUUUAAAAACAUGAAGAUUAUGUGUAUCUAUACAUGUGUAAAUAUUUUUGUGUUUAUAUUUCAAAACUCAAAUUUUCACUUGUCUUCGAAAAUUAUAGUAUUAUUAUUUUUACUUAAGACCAACCUCCAAUCAAAAUUAUUGCUAAGGUAAAAGAGCGCGAUUCGUAAUAUCGUGACAUUUUUCCUAUAAAAGCGACAAACAUUUUCCUCAAACAACUUUAUUCAAAGGAUAGUUUAUGUUUCUUAAUUUAAUAUAAAUAUUUUGUUAUAAAUUGUUGUUCCUUCUUGCUUCUUGCUUCUCUACUUUACCUUAUUUGUUUCCCUUUUUUAUCACCACCUAGUUAAUAAUUAGAACGAUAAAACAUCUGUUUGCUUAUUUAUUAUUUUAUCACUUAGUCUAGUUUAAAUUAAAAUAAAACAAGAGACCUUUAUUUGAUCACAUAAACUCCCCACGUAAAAUACAUAUUCGGUCGGAAACCACCUUUGUGGACCUCGAAAGGUGCCUAACACCUUCCUUUCGAGGUAAUUUGAAUCCUUACCCGAAUUUCUGGUGAACUAGGACAAAUAACAAAAUAGGUUUGUAGCAUCCUAGACCGGUUCUGUAAUGCACCUUAAUUUGUUAGGUGACGACUCUUCACACUCUUCCCUUCAAACAAAUCCAAAAAGAGUGGUCACGUUGAAUUCCACUUUCCGCGAGGAAAUUGGGGCGCGACAGUUGAUAUUAAUUUUAGAAACUUAUUUUAUAUUUUGAAGGGAAUCAAAGUUACUAAUUUUCAAGUGAAUGAAAGUUAUUCAUUUUAAUAUUUUAUGUUGAAUAUAUUUUGGAUAAUGUUAUAGUAUGUGUUUUAUUCCAGUGUUCAGUAUGAUGUGUUCAAAUCUAACUUCAAAAUACAUAUGUAGUGUUUAAAUUUAACUACAAAAUACAUAUGCAGUAUUUAAAUUUAACUUAAAAAUACAUAUGCAGUUAACAACAUAUGUUUUUUAAUCUUUGUUCAUUUGAUGUCAAAUACAUAUGUUGCUUUAUAUUUCUAUUUCAAAUUCAUAUGCUACUUGAUAUUUGUAUUUUUACUAUGUGUUCAUAUACUAUAUAGUUUACAUUACAUACACAUGUUUAAUAUGUAUUAAGUUUCACAUAUACACAUGCAAUAGAUAUAUGUAUUUUAGGUUGAGUUAUAUUUGUAUUUUACUAAGUAUUCGUAUAAUUUUAAAUACAUAUAAUGAUUUAUACAUGUAUUUUAAUAUGUUUUCAUAUAAUAUCAAAUGCAUUAUCUUCUUCAUAUAUCUAUUUUACUACGUGUUCACAUACUAUAUAGAUUGCUAUGUGUUGUUAUAAUAUAUAGUUUAGCAAAUACAUUAAGCCAAAUUCGUAAAAAAUUAUAUUUUUUAAUAUGACGCCUAAUACAAAUUGAUAAAUGUAUUUUUGAAUACACAUCUUUUGAAAAUUAUUAUAUAAAAAUGUGUAUGCAUUUCAUAUUUCAAAUACAUAUAGGUCACCAUAUUUGAUAAAUAUCUCAGUUAUCAAAUACAUAUACCCUGAAACAUAUGUAUUUUUCAAAGCAAAAGCAUAUGUAUUUUUCUUUCAAAUUUAGUAAUACCUAGCUGUAUUACUGAUUGUCAUUUAUAACUCAUUAUAGGAAAUGGUAAAUAAAUGUCAGAAAACACAUUUAACAAAUGAGUUCAUUAUUAUGAAAAGUGUAAAAGAAAUUAUAAAAAAAAAUAUGGAAGAAUAAAUGUGUCAUUUACGAUAUUUCCUACACGAACUCCUAUUGUGACCCUUAGACCCACAACCACUGCAUGAGUUGAUGUUCUUCUUUCCAAACAUAUCCCUUCUGGAUUUUUCACGAUUCUUUUUUGCAGGUCUUCCAAGAGGUCGUUUGAACUUCAGAGGCAAUACUAUUUCACCAAGUAUGCUAUCUGAAAUUAUCCAUCUGAAAUUAUCCAGUCAUCUUUGUGUGGUAAAGGAUAUAUUGGAACAUCAUACGUUUUUAAGACUAUUUUUGAAUUAUACAGAUCACAACAAUAUGGUCCCUUGCUGAGAUGCUUGCUAUCCAAGACCGCACAAGCAUGUGCACAUGGUAUCUCAUCCAAUUGAAAUGCGUUACAUGAGCAUGUUUUUUUCCUGAGGCUAACAAUGAAAUGCUUUUCUUUGUCAUGCGUCUUGUACACAUACUCUGUGAUUGGUACAACCUGAUAUUAUUUUUAAAAAAUUAAAUUAAAAAGGG